UUUUUUUUUUUUUUUUUUUUUUUUCCUCUCGAACAAAAAGCAAGGCUUGAUUGUGCGACCGCGCCCGAAGCACGGAAAACAAAAG
rnacentral:ribozyme from 1 species